rnacentral:rRNA from 1 species
GACGAACGCUGGCGGCGUGCUUAACACAUGCAGGUCGAACGGAAAGGCCCUGCUUUUGUGGGGUGCUCGAGUGGCGAACGGGUGAGUAACACGUGAGUAACCUGCCCUUGACUUUGGGAUAACUUCAGGAAACUGGGGCUAAUACCGGAUAGGAGCUCCUGCUGCAUUGUGGGGGUUGGAAAGUUUCGGCGGUUGGGGAUGGACUCGCGGCUUAUCAGCUUGUUGGUGGGGUAGUGGCUUACCAAGGCUUUGACGGGUAGCCGGCCUGAGAGGGUGACCGGCCACAUUGGGACUGAGAUACGGCCCAGACUCCUACGGGAGGCAGCAGUGGGGAAUAUUGCACAAUGGGCGGAAGCCUGAUGCAGCAACGCCGCGUGCGGGAUGACGGCCUUCGGGUUGUAAACCGCUUUCGCCUGUGACGAAGCGUGAGUGACGGUAAUGGGUAAAGAAGCACCGGCUAACUACGUG